GAAAAUAAAAGGCUUUCCUUAGCGUAACUAGACAAGUGAGUGGUAAGCGGCUCUGACUGAGUCGAGCUGUGAAGAGCGAGUCAGAUUUUCCAAUAGUUCAUUUAUGAGAAGCACGCGAGCUCCUUCUCUGUCUGCUGAUCUACAGUAGUCUGACUCUGUAAGGACACAAUGAGAAGCACUUGUUUGUCCUGGUGCCUUUUCCUGCUGUUUGUCUGGUACCCAGCACGCAGCAUAGUGACGGCGCUUGAGCUGGAGGAUUCGGACCGGGACUGGGGUUCUGGAUUACACGAACUCCUAAGCAGCUUUCCAGCUGAUAGUCCAUUUGUCAGAGAGACGCCCGACAAGCCUGCCAACUGCACUCAGCGCUUCUGGCUUCCUCCAUCCUCCCCUGUGUGCUGGGAUGAUAUAGCGGGUCCAGAGGAGUUUGAGAAAUCACGCCUUCUCGUGCUGCAGAACAGGGCAGCACUGCAGGCUGUAUCCACAUCUAGUGGUCUCGAGGAAGGGGGUGCAUCCUAUGAUCAACAAGCCAGGGAGAACAUGCAGGGCGUCUGGGCUGACCAUCUCGCUGUGGCCCAGACCGCCGAUACAAUGCAGAAGGUGUUCACAGAUUUGGAUGAGAAGAGGAAGGAGGGGGAAGAGCAUUAUACCUUCUCAAGUCUGAAGGAGCCCAUUGAAAACACGAAAGACUCCAUUGCUAAAAAGGAACAAGUAGCAGCACUUCUAGAGAAACAUCUUGCCAAUCUGGAGAGGUCUUUGAACACUAUGCAACUUCGACUGGCCAAACUGCUACCCCAGUAAUUUAAUCUGAGCAACACAACCUACACAUGUGGAAAAUAAUAUAAUGCAUGUUUAUUAUUACAUUUUAUCAAACAAAUAAGACUUGUAUCACCAUAUACUGCAUGCCAACAGCACCCUGUAUUUCUCUUUUGGUACGUAUUUUAAGUAAAUGGGAUAAAUAUUAGGUACUGGCAAUAAAUUAUAUUUUUAUACCUCCAGG
rnacentral:lncRNA from 1 species